rnacentral:tRNA from 1 species
CUGUCAUCGUUAGGUAACUGCUUUACUUCUAUGAAAUGAUUCUAUUUCAACAAUCAUAAGUUUAAAUUCACUUGGUAUUGUUGGCUUGAAUCUUCCCAUCGAUGUUUAGGACUGCAACUGGUCAGUCUCUUAUUGACAUAUGUGCAUACUGUGCGUAUUGCCUUGAUAUAGCCUUAAUUCACAAGCAGUAUACUCACAGUAUGCACAUAUGCCAAUAAGAGACUGACCAUUUG